UACGGGGGGUGCGAGCGUUGUCCGGAAUCACUGGGCGUAAAGGGCGCGUAGGCGGGCUGCUAAGUCAGGGGUGAAAGCCCACGGCUCAACCGUGGAAGUGCCUUUGAUACUGGCGGUCUGGAGGGAGGUAGGGGCGUGCGGAACUUCCGGUGGAGCGGUGAAAUGCGUAGAUAUCGGAAGGAACACCGGUGGCGAAGGCGGCGCUCUGGACCGAGACUGACGCUGAGGCGCGAAAGCGUGGGGAGCAAACAGG
rnacentral:rRNA from 1 species